UUUACCUACUAGGGGUGCCCUUAUACACGGGCUGAGAGAAAAACGUUACGUUUUUUAACCCUUUGGACCUGAUCUGGAUGAUACCAGCGUAGGAAAGUAGCCAAGUGAAAUU
rnacentral:ncRNA from 2 species